GAUUACCAGUUGAAAACAUGAUCAGUUGAAAACACGUAGUCAAACAGUCCAGCCUAAACUACUUAGUUGGAAUGACGUCGUAAACCAGUCCAAGGCGGACCGACUUAUUUUCAACCAUAUUUCAACGUUGAAAGACGUAACUAUGGCAACACUGGUGUUAGGCGGAUCGAGAUACCAGCUCUGAUGGUGUGCCUGGGAGAUUCCUGGAGCUGCAAAGAUGGAUUAGGUAGAAGUCCUAGGGUAUUGGAUCGACCUGAAAGCCCUGGUCCGCACAUGCUCGACACUGGAAAAGUGCCUAUUGACAUUACCAGCAAUCUCAA